CUUGUCUUCGGAACCCUAUUGUUGAUUAAGAUUCAGUUUGAAACCUUCAAUUUAUCUUGCAAAUUCAGUGCUUGUUUCCUCAUUCUUGCUAGUUCUUCGAUUGCUUGCAGGACGGGAGCCCUAGGGGCUGGUUGUCGCGUUCCACCAGAUCGUGACGGCUAUUGGACGUGGUGUAUCGGUUGCUAAGGCACGGUCUUGAGGGCUGUAGUCGGGCCAUGAACGUCAUCUCCAUCCACCAAUCGAGUUAUCCCCGUCUCUCAUCAAAAGAUCGGGCAAAAACCCUAGCGGGUACGCAUCAGUUGGUAAUCAGAGCAAGGUUCUUCGGUGAGAGACUUCUAAUCCUUUGUUGUUUUUAAUUAAUUUCCUACAGUCCAGAAAAGCCAAAAAAAUAUAGUAGAUUAGUUUUUCCAUAAUCCUAUUAAACCUUUGUGCCUUGGCUAGUAUCGUUUUAGUUAGGGCUUGUUCAAUUUGCGUUGCUUCGGUUUGUGUCGAGUUGCUGGUCUUAGUGUCGAGUCCUUUAGAGUUUCGAGUUCUUGUCACCAUCUAUACACAACCGAGUAUUACCAUAUCUUCUCUCUGUCGAAUCUGUUGCGAAGUCCGAAUUGAACUGUGGUCUUGGUCCAGAUCGAGUAGAGUUCCAAUCUGAGUUCCACCAACGUGAUAAAAAAAGAAGGAAACCGAGUAGAACUCGGCAAUAGGUGGAAUCCGUUUUGUGGUUGGUUCUGAGUGGAAACCGAAUAGAACUUGGAGUCCGCUUGUUAAUACAGCCUUAACUCCGUCUAUGUGAGUCCUUCUGUGAUCCAAAAAGAAAGAUAACUCCAUACUUGUUCGGCCUUACCGGAAUACCCUGUACUUUCGGAAAAAAAAGUGUGUGUAGCGAAUUGCUCUUUUGUAUUCUUUUGUUCAUAUAAUCCGUUUUUGAGGUUGCCCAAAAAAAAGAAAAAAAAGAAAAGAGAAAAGAUUCAAAAAAAGGGGCUGUUUUUCAUAUUGAUUUUAGGUUUGUUCCACCUUGUUUUCGGGGGUGUGCUGUGGUUUUCCUUUGUGUCCAGGCUCGCGUCUCUGACACGGUCUAGCCUAGGACCAGCACAGUACCAUCGUCGAAUGCUUAUUCAGCUCGCUUUUAUAACUAGAUGGUGCUAGUUCGUUCCUUGUUUCAGCCCACCUAUAGCUCCACAUACUCUACAG
rnacentral:lncRNA from 1 species